AGUGAACGCUGGCGGUAGGCCUAACACAUGCGAGUCGAACGGCAGCACAGUAAGAGCUUGCUCUUACGGGUGGCGAGUGGCGGACGGGUGAGGAAUACAUCGGAAUCUACUUUUUCGUGGGGGAUAACGUAGGGAAACUUACGAUAAUACAGCAUACGACCUACGGGUGAAAGCAGGGGAUAUUCGGACCGUGCGCGAUUGAAUGAGCGGAUGUCGGAUUAGCUAGUUGGCGGGGUAAAGGCCCACGAAGGGGACGAUCGGUAGCUGGUCUGAGUGGCUGGUCAGCCACCUGGGAGCGUAGACACGGUCCAGACUCCUACGGUACGCACCAGUCGGGAACAUUGGACAAUAGGCGCAAGCCUUAUCCAGCCAUACCGCGUGUGUGACGAAGGCCCUCCGUUUGUAAUGCCCUCUUUUUGGUUAAGAACAGCAGCCGCUUAUUACCCCGCUUUUCUGACGGUACUCAAUGAAUAAGCACCGGCUAACUUCGUG
rnacentral:rRNA from 1 species